CAGUCGCCGCGGGAAUACGUAGGUCCCGAGCGUUGUCCGGAUUUAUUGGGCGUAAAGCGAGCGCAGGCGGUUAGAUAAGUCUGAAGUUAAAGGCUGUGGCUUAACCAUAGUACGCUUUGGAAACUGUUUAACUUGAGUGCAAGAGGGGAGAGUGGAAUUCCAUGUGUAGCGGUGAAAUGCGUAGAUAUAUGGAGGAACACCGGUGGCGAAAGCGGCCCUCUGGCUUGUAACUGAUGCUGAGGCUCGAAAGCGUGGGGAGCAAACAGGAUUAGAUACCCGGGUAGUCCCUGUCUCUUAUACA
rnacentral:rRNA from 1 species